AGUCUCUGAAACCAGACCGUGACAACGAAAACGCGGUGCGGGCAACGCUAUAUAAGGGCGCGCAGUUAACGCGCUCUACACAGUAGAAAAGUGUGCGUUGAAAAGAACAGACGUAAGCAGUUCGCCAAGAGAAUAGUAUCAACUACGGAGUGAAGUCGCAAACAUGUGCAAGGCUGUUGUAGAUUGUAAAGAAAGUAUGAACGAUUGGAAGAGUGUGAGGAGACGCUGAGCAAACGGCCUUCGAAUCGAGAGUGGUGUGAGUCAUGGGCGCUGCCAUCAGAGAUCCAUGCGAAAAGCCACCAGGCAUUGGUUCCGGAGCACACUCGUUUCCUGCUCCUCGCACGUUAAUGGCAACGAUGAUGAGGAACGGAACACAAACAAGAAACUACGUCGCAGUGGGCCACUGAAUGAAUCCGUGUACCGGUAGCAACAAUAGUUCGACUAUGGCUGGUACUGGUAAAGAAGAAUCCCGAACCCGAUCGUCGCAGUGACGAUGGCGUUGCGUUGUAGAGUUACUGAGUGAGUCUCAACGUCUGUCCGAGUCACCCCCACCUCCACCGCCAGGCACUGAGUUCCGCAAACCAGCCGAUGGCCGAUUCUGCAGAGAUCGCCGGAGCAGGGAGCAGCAGCAGCAAACACCACCGAGUCUCCUCUGCAUGCCAAUGCACAUGCAAUUCAGUCGCAGCGGACAGAACAUUGGGGACAAGGCGGAAUGCGCGCGGCAGCAGCUCCAGCUCGCAUCAGCUUACCUGCGUUUGAAGCUCUCGUGCUGUUGCCAACCACCGACAAUCACCACCUAUUCUGCAUUGAACGCUUCGCAGCUGCUGAUCACCACCCACCACCCAUCCGCACAGAUACACGGUAUUUGGUAUAUCAGCUGCGAACAAAAUAUUGCUUUUUAAACAAAUUUCCAGAGAAAAGAACAGCGGAUUAUUUAUAUAGCAUCGAAACGACAUUAAGGAACUCCUGUCAUCACUGAGCGUGUAUAUCGUGUGGAAUUGUUCUUGUGAUAAACAAUUAAAUGGCAGGCGUCGAGUUUCUCAUCUUUCUUCGCUCGGUACUCUUUGCUGGACUUCUCUUUUACCAUUUAUGAUUUUGGCAAGCGAUUAUUGGACCCUUGGCAUCCGAAUCCCCAUCUCCCUAAUCAAUAGGCUAGAUAAGGCCGUUUUAAUCUUUGUAGCUGCAUGUCACAGUCGAUCGGUUCCUGUGGGUGCUUUUGUUCGAUGGGAUUACUCUGCGCUCUUCAAGUAUUCACGGUCUUGAGGGCACCAGCCGAGGAUCUUCAAUGAGAAUUUAAUCGGGAGCACGAGUAAAAGAGUUCGUAGACUAGGCACGACCAUCACUUUUCGUUUAUUUUUCCAGCGUUGCAUCGCAGUUGAACGGUGCCUGCGGGCAAUAAUGAAUGGAAUCGUACGAGGUGGAAUAUUGAGCUCUUCAAUUCUAUGGCCCCAAACAUCAAAAAGAUACGAGAAAAAGCGUAAAUGGUGUUUGAUACAUAAGUUCGAUCAAAAUGCUGCUUUACAUUUUUAGCACAUUGCGGAUGGCUCCUGCGACAGCUACUCCUUAAUUCGAAGUUUUCUUUUGUAUAUAUGCAAAGACGCAUAACAACCUAAUGCGUGGAUCUACUGAACAAGCGUAGGAGCUAAGAUAAAUGCAACCGAUGUAUUUUCUUUCGUAUUUUGUAGAAAUACAUAUUCAUGGACUGAUAAGCUACAUGGAAUACCACGUCGCCGCUAUGGGCCGGCCAGCCCAGUUCAUGUAAAUUGUUGUUUUUACAUCUGUCCAAACAAUUUUUCUGUCUUGUAGCAAUAUGGCUGCAGUUGAAUGUACCUGCCCAUAUUCACAGUCUGCAUAUCAUGAGUUAUUGAUGCCCAACGCAACAGUGAAGCUUCGAACAUUUUGAACAGACUCAAAUCUGUAUAUCGGCCUCCGUAAUGAAUGUGCAAUCGAUAUCCUCUUCUCUCGUAUUUUAUAGAAAUACAUAUUGUGGAACAGUUAAGAUGCUAUGGAAUUGUGCCACGUGGUUGGACGACACAAACUUAAUUUAAGUAUGGAGAAAAACAUUUUUCUGUCUUGUAGCUCUUGCAGUUAAGUGUGCCCGCCCACAUCUCAUCUAUAGCUUCUGAGUACUUGGGACUUUCACAGCGUUCGAGAAAUGGUUGGAUCUCUACAUUGCGCAUAAAAUACUAAGUUUAUCUUCUUUCCCAAUGACAUAGAGGCUUAUUUAUGAAUUCAUUGCAGUGUUUGUACAAAGACAUUGGUUUCAAGCAACCAGUCUUAUCUAUCACAUUGUUGACUCACCUAUGCACAUUUGCCUGUAUCGAAACCAACCGAGAACAUGUAGCAAAAUUUCUUGAGGCAAUGGGAAUCAAAUGCCAACUUGAAAGCAAUAACACCAACACUAAGUCGUCGCAGUCCAACAUCCAUACUACACGUCGAAUUCGAAUUGAACCCGAAGGUCAGGUCUGAGAACCUAACUAGUACCCGCUUACACCUGUUUUUCAGCAAUUUCCUGGCCAGGAUGUGGAUUGUUUGUAACAGAAAGAAACUACGUUUGUCUUGGGCGUCGCUAGGAUUGGCCGGGGAUCGUUUGACCCUUCCUAAAGUGAGAUCCUAAGCAGCCUUAAAUUUAUUUUACAAUUCUUACAGCGGUGCCGCACAGUUGAGUGUGCCUGUGGGCAUCGACUUAGCAAUAUUUGAACCAAGGGGCAGGGCAGUGGACCGUUCCGUAGAUGAGGAUGUACACCGCUCCUAGCUGGCUGAGUCUACUGCUGUGCUGCUGCAAAUCGUUAAAGGGAACCCAAAACGAUGCAUCAAGUCCAUCCAGUUAGGCUUCUCUUCCUAAGCACAGAUCACCUGCGCUACAACGACAACCAAUUCGAGCGCACCUGCUUCUGCAAGCGAGCACAAUACGUCAAUUGAGCAUCGAAGCACAGAAAGCAAGCCAACAACCAGGUUAAUGCUCCCUGUGCUGACAAUGAACCUUACGCUUUUACAUUGCAGCCAAGAAGCCUCCUAGUGCAUGUUCAACUACCAGCACAGAGCUUCUCAAUAAUUGGAGUAACAAUUGUUCUGACCGCAUCAGGCCCUGACCGAGUCCGAUUUGGGUGCCUUUGGUCGCAAGAUCUACACGAGCAAUGGGAUAGAGCCAAAACAGGAGCGCUAAUCUAGCGCCAAGAUGUGCUGAGCUGAACCUAAGCACGUACUGCAUUGCACCGCACAGAUAUGUGCGUUCGGUCCACGCUAAAGGGAAUCAAAUGCGUUUGGACCGAGAGCCGCUACACCGCACCAUCACCAGUAUUCGCUGUGAAGUGAGCUGAUGUGUUGUCGUUGUUACAGGGCUGCUGCUGCAACUGCGCCACAGGUAUCCUCGCCUAGCGUCGGUAACUAUCAUUUGUCAAUUCUAGCGGUCGGCAGUGUACAUCAAACAUUGAAGUUUCCGGAGUGGCAUGUCAUGUACCGCACAUGGGAAACCAACACCGAUCUGUGCUCAAGCAUUCGAUUUUGAAUCUGAAGAUUGCCAGCAGCAACAGUUGAAGACUAUCGACGCAGACUUGCAGAACGGAGCGCAGAAAGGACAAAUCAUUUCGCUCAUCAGCGGGUUGUCGUUUUACUUGCAUUUUCCUUCCGUAGGUAGCCCAGAAUUCGAGAAAACCCAUAUCCAUCGCAAAGGGAAACAAAUGCGAUUAGUGUUCGAAGACCAACCUGGGUGUCCAAUGAGUUGCGCCACAAUCAGCCAGUUGAGCCCAUAACUCCUGGCCCGCCGAUCAUCGUACCGCAAAAGGGAAUCAAUUGCGAGGUGGUACUACAGCAGUCGAGUUCCUUGUUGAGCUCCUGGUUUAAGUCGAGCUCCCAACUGAGCUCCUGGUCGAGUUCUUCGCUUCAGCGUUAUUAUCGUAAAGGGAAUCCAACGCGAUGUACAGCAACAGCGGCAGGCAGGGUCACCUAACACACAAAGGUAUACGAAUGUGAGAAGAGUUCUAGACGGUGCAAUUACGCUUUUCAGAAACCUCUCACACACUAAUCUGCACGUGUCUGAAUCUGGCUGCCAUGCUAGGCGCGCCUUCAAUCAUAUUCGACAUGUUGGUCUCAAAGGGAAUCCAAGAGACACGCGCCCCGCGGUACAACCAACUGAAGACCACCUUUUUUAUUUUCUUAGCUUUUUUAAACCUUAUAUUGCAGAUUGCUAAUCAAAGUAACGAGCCCUUCAGACCCAGAAGUCAUUUCCUGUUAAUUUUUUUACUUUAGUGUUUUCAAAUUUGUAUGUUCUAAACGAAUCGUUUCAUUCUAUUGUAAUUUAUUGCUUGUAAACCUUUCCUCUAAGAGUCAAUGCAGACAUCCGACUUCGCUGACGAUUGCAUCGGGACUGCAUUACCCUGGGAUAGACGGUCCGGUCUAGAAGUAGCAGCAAGAGUCAGUUAUAUAUCAUUACCGCAUUUAGCACAAGAUUCAUGGCAGUGAGAUGAAGUGGACGCAGCAUACAUAGACGUGUCAGACGCAAAGGACCAUUUGAGACCCGUACCAAGGCAGGGAGAGCAGGCAUACACAGGCGGAGGCAGUGCUGACAUUCAAUACCUUCGAGUUUCAACACUCUACCUUUUACCCGUAUUCACUGGGCAUUCAAUCACCAAAUUCGCAUCCUGGGUCUAUUUGGAGCAUAUUAAGAACACCACACGGCGUAGGAGCACACACGCUUGGGUCAUUUUUAAUAUGAGAAGUCCUCAAACCCUCCUCGGAUCAUUCUUCAUAAUCUGCAUGUGGAGCAACAAGUAGGCUGGAGGUAUCAUUUCUUCGCUAAGCACCAUCGCUCCGCAAACGUUUCUCGAUUUCGCAAUACUGGCUUGGGAUAGCACCUAAUUCUUUCCGGUUUUCGGCACUGAUGACGACUUCAAUCCUUGUUUCAACCCGUACCCCUUCGAACCAAUAUAACAGUUGGAUUGCAUACAUCUUUCGCUUCGCUACACACUGGUCGAUUCUUUUUCUCUGUGAGGACCCCUCGUGAGGAUAUUAGAUUUGUUGAAGAAUGAUUCUCUAAACUGGACUGCGGCGUGGGAUUCACACUACUUUAACCACCGACAGCGGCAUGGGAGUAAAUUUGGACAGCGGCGUGGGAUUUUCGGCUCUCGACGACGGCGACGGACUAGGGAAAGCUUCAGACUGCGGCGAGGGAUGUAAAGUUUAGCAACGUGGGAUUAUUAGGGCGUUUAGGCCAGGGCGCUAGAAAUAGUAUUCUUAAAACUGACUGCGGCGUGGGAGGCGGAGAUCGGGACUGCAGCGAGGGAUCCGUGGUUCUGGACAGCGGCGUGGGAUUCAUAUGAGUUUGGACGGCUGCGUGGGAGUCUUAUUUGACGGCUGCGUGGGAGUAUAGGACUGCAGCGUGGGAAUCUUUGACGGCGGCGAGGGAUCCUCUUCGGUUAAAGAUCAUGGGUUUAAUUUCUCGGCAAAUUGGUCAGCAAUCGGAUUCCACAUACAUGCGUGUCACUCCAUUUAUUGAUAGUUCAAAGCUGAUAUACUAAGGUGGCGUGAUCAGCGUAAUCACGCCUCCAAAAAUACGCAUCCCUGACUUAUCCCCUAUAUGGAAAAUCAUCAUUGAGUACACAUUUAUUAACACUUCUGGAAUACCGGAACGCAACCCCAAUACUUAUGCCGAUGAUCCUAAUACAUGCAACGAUUCAAGCGCACAAUAAAUUGAUUUUUGAAAAGAACGCAAA